AUUGAACGCUGGCGGCAUGCCUUACACAUGCAAGUCGAACGGCAGCACGGGUGCUUGCACCUGGUGGCGAGUGGCGCACGGGUGAGUAAUACAUCGGAACAUGUCUUGUAGUGGGGGAUAGCCCGACGAAAGCCGGCUUAAUACCGCAUACGAUCUACGGAUGAAAGCGGGGGACCUUCGGGCCUCGCGCUAUAGGGUUGGCCGAUGGUUGAUUAGCUAGUUGGUGGGGUAAAGGCCUACCAAGGCGACGAUCAGUAGCUGGUCUGAGAGGACGAGCAGCCACUCUGGGACUGAGACACGGCCCAGACUCCUACGGGAGGCAGCAGUGGGGAAUUUUGGACGAUGUGCGAAAGCCUGAUCCAGCAAUGCCGCGUGUGUGAAGAAGGCCUUCGGGUUGUAAAGCACUUUUGUCCGGAAAGAAAUCCUUGGCCCUAAUACGGUCGGGGGAUGACGGUACCGGAAGAAUAAGCACCGGCUAACUACGUG
rnacentral:rRNA from 1 species